UUGAUGACAUAACAAUCUUGAGUUCGAGUCUCACAGUGCGUGUUACUUAAUUAUGAUUUUUUUUUUCUCUGUGUGCAUUUUCCUAUGUUUUCUUUCAUUUUAUAAAUACAUGUAUAAAUAAUUUUUAAAAGAGAUAUAUAAUACAACAUUGCAUAUUGAAAGUAUCUUGGGGAAAACAGUCUUAAACUAUUUUAAUAACCCAAAGUCAUAGCUGUUAGCCUGUAUUAUUUUUAAAAUUUCAAACAAUCUUGUUUAGAGCAAGUAAAAUUACUGUCAUGCAACAAACUUGCAACUUUGAAAAUAUAACACUGGUUCACAAAUGAUUACAUACAUGGAGUUUGAUUUUGAAUUGAAAAGCUUUGUGUAUAAUCUAUAAGUAGAAACAAGUGAUUUUCUUUUAAUACUUGAGUAGGCCGAAUCGUCUGUAAGGUAGCUAUGGAUCUUUGGUUCUUUGCUUUCUUUCAAUAAGAGUACCAAAUCCUCUGAUGUGCACAUGUAGAGUUGAGUACUGAAUGGGUAGGCAUCAUCUGAUUGGCUGAAUUCAGGGUCUGGUCCACUUGGCCACCAGUGGGGAUGGGGACACCAACCCCUGCACAGAGACUUUGGAGUGGGCUGCCCAGACCAUGAUUUGAUGAGUGAGCUGCACUGUGGGUCCGACCAGCAAAGUUUCUUGUGAAAGUAACAUUUCAAGGCAGGGAUCGUCGCAGAGUUCUGUUGAAGCUUUCAACCUUUUGCGAGUUGGUGUUUUUGAUCGUCCUGUCCAGUACAGCUGGAGACAACCUCUUAGAGAUGCAGGCAUGGAGCCUUGCCUCAUUUUCCGUGGAAGACGCAGAUUGUCCUUAUAGAGGGAAUCUGCAGCUCAACCAACAGAGCUGUCCAUGUCAAUGAUUACCUUGAGUCCAUCUUUGCAGAGGAGUUCCGCCAUCCCCUCCCGAGUCCAAGUGAAGUCAUCCUGAAUGGUAUGGUGCAUGGGUAGAUUUGCCCCACACACCCCCCAGGACUACACUGAUGGUUUGAAGUGCCCUCAUCAAAGACUUUCUCGUAGGAGGGGGAGUGUUGGUAGAAGGAAAGAUUUUCCUCAUUCCAUCAUUGCCUAUAGGGGUUUGACUAAGGCCAACUUGAAGCACAUAGUUAACAGUGGCAGCUUUCCUACCUGGGGAUUUGGUCUCUACCUCCUCAUACAGAUUGUACCGCCUUGAUACAUAUAGACACUUGGUACAUUGAAGGCCCAUCCGGCUUCCCAGACCACGCCUCUCAUCAAAUGCCAGAUCUCACUCAAGCGUUCCAUCGCACCCCGUAUUCCCUUGCAGGUGGAGAGAGAUCACCUCAUUCCAGAUCUCGGCUGUUUUCUCAAGGUGUAGCAGUAAAUAGGAAUUUUGAUUAGCCAAUCUUAGCACUUUGGAGGGCUUUCAACUUUCGGUCCCUUCGGCCUAAGGAGAUAGUGGCACAUGCGCCGCACGAGCAUUUCCUGCCCUUCCGCAGCUAUAGGAGUUUCUGAAACCAUCUGAUGCAUCUGCUGGGACAGUCUGUUGUACCGUGCAGAACUGUUUUUCAAGAAAAGUAAAAAAGGAAACGGCUGUUGAUGUUGAACAACUCCCUUGAACCAACUUUAUCUUUCCCACUUUUCUUCAAAGUGAAAUGAAUGAAUAUCAUUGAGUGAAAGAGUUAAACUUUUGAAAAGAUUUCUGAUUUUAAUUAAAUGGCAGAUGUUUUAAGUUCACCAUUCACUUUUGCCAUAUUUUAUGGUGCUAAUUAAACAUAGAAAUGACCCUGUCGUAAAAAGGAAUAGGCUUAUAAUGAUAACCAUUUUUGUUAGUCAUUCUAUUUUUCCAACAUACUAUUAUAUGUAAUUAGUUUUCUGGAUUUUAUACAUGUAUAUAGAUAAUAUGCUAAUUUAAUAAAGAUGAC